rnacentral:misc_RNA from 1 species
AAAAAGUAGGCCCUGUGUAGAGUUUCAAGAUGGCUGUUUUACUCUUUAUAGUUCUUUGUGUAUUGAUUGGUGCCUUCAUUUUGUUCAGGAAAAGAAGUAGACAAAUUCCUGGUCCCAUAGGUAAACCAUUGAUUGGGAAUGUAUCGGACUUAAACUUGAAAUCUCUACACAUAAAAUUAUUUGAGUGGAACCAACAGUAUGGAGACAUUUUUCAGUUUUCAAUUUUCAGCAAAAAGUUUGUAGUCAUAAAUUCGUCGGACGUUCUUCGCGAAGCUUUCCUAGAGGAACCUAAUGCCUCCAUCUUUGCAGCCCGUCCGGAAAUGUUCUUUGCCAAGUACUUUUAUUUGAACAGUGACCUGGCGUUUUCAUCGUUGGAUCCAACAUGGAACAAAAGAAAGAAACUCGUUCAUCAAAAAUUAAAUGCAUAUGGGGAAGGACUUUUACGUUUAGAAAAGCAAAUCAAUCGAAACCUAACGGCUUUGAUGGAAGAGAUUCAAUUGAUCGAAGGCCAAUCAAUCGAUCCUGCAUCUAUGAUUGAAGAUUUCAUUUUUAACACAGUUGAAACAUUGGUUCUUGGAAGAGUUUAUGGAAAACACACCGGUUUUCAGGGACUCAUGAAAAAGAUCGAUAGCCUUGGGAACGAAGUCAGCAAUCUAGGGCCUGACAUGAUCUACAACAUAUUUCCUUUUCUCCGAUUUUUUCCAUUCGCUCAUUCCAAAAAAUUAAAUGAGCUACUAAAAACAAAACAGGAGAUGAUAUCCAUUGUAGAACAAUUGUCGGUAUACCCAUCCUUUUAUCAUAGUUUUGUGUUCUGUUUUGAACAUGAUGUAAAGAUAUUUUCCUGGCUUAACUUUUAAAAGUUUUCAAUCAGACUUUUCCUUGAAACUGGUAGUGUGACAUUUCAAUAUGUCAGAAAAAAUAAAGAAAAGCGUUUGUACAAUUUUUAAAUCGAUUGUACGAUUUAGAAAUUCGUUUGUUCGAUUUUUUUAAUUGUUCAAACGAUUUACAGUAUAUUAUUUUUACAAUUUAUGAAAUUGUUGAAAAGAAUUGAAAAUUUGUGAACGAUUUAAAAAAAAAAUCGAUCUCUGGUUGACGAUUAAAAUUCAUUUACAGAAUUGAUAUUACAUGUAUCAUCGGUGCCCGGUAGUGAGAAAUCAAAUCAUACACCGAAACAAAUGAUGCGUUGAUCAUAAAUGUAUGUGCAUUUCUGGUGUUCUGAAAUAUAAACGUUCUAUUUUUGUCAGAUCUUCAUCCACGUGUUCAUUUUAUAUUUAAGUCUGAAAAUCCAGAGGACAAUGGUAUGUAUCAAUCUUUGAAGAAAGUCCUUGAAGAAAAAGAUGAAACUGACCACUGUUGGUUUAAGGACGAUAAUUUGUGGGGCAUAAUUAUAAAUAUCUUUGGCGGAGGUAUACUAACUUUUAUUAUUUAACUGUCACAUAUAGUUUUUAUUCAUCAAAACAUGUUUAAUGAGAUUUUUAAACAAAGUCACACUUCUCAAAAUAAAUUUCUUUAAAGCAUAUCUUACGACAAGAGGAACAAUUAUGUCCAUGCUUCACAUUCUUGCUAAAAGACCAGACGUUCAGAAAUCUUUGCAAACCGAAAUAGACAACGUCAUUGGUGACGUCAGAGAGCCAGAGAUCCGUGACCGACAACAGUGCCCUCUGGUGGAGGCUUUUGUCUUGGAAACCCUGCGUUACAUCUCUCAUACACCAUUGGCUAUGCAUUCCACCCGAGAGGCGACGUCCAUUGCUGGUUAUCAUGUGGAGAAAAACACGCCGGUUCUCGCUUGUUUUUGGAGUAUGCAUCACAGUGACACUGAGUGGGAAGAUCCGUUUUUAUUUAAACCAGAGAGAUUCCUUGAACAAGAUGGAAGCCUAAAGCCUGCAAGUGAUCCUGUCAGAAAAAGGUUUCUAUUGUUUGGAACCGGAAGACGUAGCUGUCCCGGAGAAGUGUUCGCCAAGUCCCGGCUGUUCCUCCUCCUGUCUACACUCCUACAGAAAUUCAAUGUUAUGGAACCAGAGGACCACAGUCUUCCAGAAUUCGAUCCAAGAGAAAUGGAUUCUGGACUGAUUAUGCAACCCAAACCCUUCAAAAUCCGAUUUGAGUGCAGAAAUAUAAUUAAAUAGUAAAAUUAAGAGAAAAAGGGUUUAACGCACUUAGUAUAUAAUUUCGCCUAAAAUAUAGCACUUUUGAAAACAUCAGACAUUUUCAAUAUUAUACAAGAUUUAGUUAAAAUAUAUUU